GUUAUUUGUCCAUUUUUUGGCUUUUUUCGUUUUUUUCUGUGUUUAAAAGGAAAAAAAGCAUAUGAAAAAAUACACUAGGGAGCUGAUAUUUCCUGCAGGAUACUAAAUCAUGUAGAAGUUCGAAAUGGCACCAUCCGGCAAUUUCUAACUUAUUGCAAACAGGCUGGGAAGAUUUGCACUAAACUCUUGUUAUUUUGCCAUUUUUUGGCUCAUUGACUCCCAUUAUAAAUCAUGAUUUUUAAUAUGCUGUAGACCUGAUGUUUUAUCAUGCAUUUUCCGUGAUUAUUGAUGCAAUCGCUUCUUUGGCGAGUCAAAAACAUGCAGAUAAAAAUUUUUUUGUGUUGACACCCAGAAGUCACUAGAUGGAGCCAUAGGCCAAUACAUGAAUUUUCUUGCGAAGCUAGCUUCAGAUCGGUCAAAAAUUAAUGCAAUAAAGACGGUUGGCUUUACAAAAAAAAUGGUGUCAAUGUUGUCUGAGCUCACUUUCAGUCUAUUUGGGCAUGCGUAUUUGCAAUUUUGCACGUUUGCACAAGACAAUAAAAAGGUACUUCCCGGAAAUGCAAAAAAACCAAAACAAAAAACCACGUGUUUAUUGUUGUCGUUUGAAUUUCAACUUUUAUUGGUUGGGUGUUUGAAUUUCUUUACUCUCAUUGGUUCUGGGCAUUUUGGGAGUCUCUGUUCUCGCGAGGAUCACCAUUUUGCAUUUCUUCCAACACAACUUAUGAUCGAUGGCGGCGAGAAGUAUUUCACCGCAGGACACGAUUCGAAUGGUGUUAGAAAAUCCUGAUUCCGACGACGACGACCUUUGUUCGGACGCUUCUUUGGAGAGCCCAGAAGACAUUGAACAAAUUCUUCCGGACUUUCGAUGCCGGAGGAGGACGGCUUUGAUGACGAGGAUUAGGAAAUAGUUGACAACAUAACGAGAUGAAAGCGGGGAGCAGAAGGCGGGGGCACGGACAUGACCACGUUGAGGCGCAUGACGAAAAUGACGGCGAUCGAGGCCUGAGGCACAUACUCCUGCCGCCGGCGCGCACUCAGGUGGCCAAUGUGUGUUUUUUCACAUGCCGGACAUUUCGUCAUGCAGCGCGUUUGUGCUGUUCACGGAGAUCUACCCUCGUUUGUGCUGUUCACGGAGAUCUACCCUGAGUGGAACGUGAAGAAAAGCUACAAGCGCCGACUAUUUCUUGAGGAACUUGGCAAGGCUCUAAUUCGGCCAGAAGUCCUAAAACGGGAACCACCGCCUUCUGCCGAAGGCUUGGUUGAGCAGCGAGCUGGACCCCCGUCCAAGCGCAAACAAUGUGGCCUUUGCACAAAGCCACUUCGGGCUUCGAACAUAAUAAUAAAUAAUAAUACAUUUUAUUUAUAACGCACUUUACAUUUGAACAACAAAUCUCAAAGUGCACAUCAUGAAUUGUGUAUGUUGUUAUUAUGUUAACUGUUAUAUUGUAUGUAUGUUUUGUAAAAUUGUUAACAUAAAUUCUAUCAUCAAAUCA